AUUUACACUUUUUUCACAUUUUAAAAUUACAUUGUGAUGUUUUAUUUACAUUUCAAUUAUUCAAAUAUAUUUCUUUUCAUUUAAAUUUUCAUCUUUUCUUCUCAACUACAAAAAUUUUAGAAUUAAAAAAAAAAUUAUAUUUUAUAAUAUUAUUUAAAAUCUCAUCUUAACUCGUGCAUUGCUCCGGUCUCAAUCUUGUGAAGAUUAUAUUAGGACCAAUCUAAUUCCUCCAUAACCCUUAUUCAUUACCUUAAUUAUUUUGCCUUUUUUUCUUCUGUUA
rnacentral:lncRNA from 1 species